AAGUGCACCAUUAAGCCAUUAGAAUCUUAGAUGAAGCUGUUACGUCUAAAGAAAGAAAGAAAAAGUGUCGGUUUGGAAGAAAUAUUCGUGCUUUGUGGACAGAAAAGCAGUUUGUAGUUUGGGUUACGUUUUCAGUGAAAGAAAAUGUUUGGAAUGAAAAAACAACUUUUCUUCUGUUUUUGCUGUUAAGUCAGUGUUUAUUUUGUGUGUUUUAUUGAAGUACAAAUGUAUCCGACGCAAAAAACAUACUCUGGAUAUUCCUUAACGUAUCCCAAAGCACACAAAAUGGCGGUAAAUAUUAUUGGAACAUUUUAAAGCUGAUGGAAUCAGACCAAAAUAUUAAAAAAACAAAGACAUUCAACAGAAUAUCUUUUAAAUUGUCAAACAUAUUAUUCCAUAAUACCCCCUAAAAUUAAAAUCAAUACCAAAAUUCAGUUUCAAUAUAAAUAUAAUCAUUCUUUUAAGACAAUCAAAACCGUGCGGAGAAGACCAACAGAAAAUGGCGCCCGAGUCAGCAGUCAUUAAAUAUAAGAAAAGUCUGCCGCUACUUUAUCACAGAGAAGGAAGACGGGUGAUGCAAAUUCAACCCUUAACAGCAACGAAUAGAUGAUAAAGACAGACAAGGCAAACAAACGAAGAGCAACGAAGACGGUGAUAACAGCAAGAACGAAAAUCAACAAACAAAAAACAACAACAAUGAAAGCGCACUUAGAUGUUGCACAGAUCCUGCAGGAAAAGGACGGCCUUGUGGGGACAACACUCAACGGGGGUCGCUGUUGAAGGACCCGAAAUUAAAAAGAGUAAGAUUUUUUUUUUUUUUUU